rnacentral:misc_RNA from 1 species
GGAGCAACGUGCGACUGGGGACCUCGAAGGACCUCUCCGCUGGUCACGAGACAUGCCUGCGACGUUUUGGCGGCGACGAUAAUACGCACCAGGGUACCGCCGGCAAGUGCUCAGAUUACCACCGUACACGUUCGUGUUCCAAACAUCACUACCGGGUAUAGGAAUCACAGAACGAUCUCGAAGGAGCAGUUACGAAGACGUCUCUGGGGAAAGCGCGUUCAAAAGGCAGCCGAUGACUUUCGCCACGAGGUCCACUUCAGACACGCGGUACGUCGCAUAGAGAGUGUGAUACAGCAGUGAUAAAAACCCGCGAACAUUCCACCGACGCAGAGUACGAGAGACACAAAUUCGCGCGGGCAAGUGAGAACAGUGCAUUGUGAGACGCGAACUCGUGGCACGCACUUUCGGACGCAUGUGCACCGGCACGCGGUCGGUGCGCCCGACUUGACGGUGCAGCCCGGAACGACGCGACACCCCGUCAGUGGUGAGCGGACAUUCAUGCACCGCCACGGGCUACCGGCCGCUGGCGUAUCAGUGAUAACGAUUCAUGCACGAUCCUAAAGAAACGUGGCACCGCGCGCAUCCGCUUUGACGGAGAGACAACCGGUGGAGUCUCUCGCAGAGGCGCGAAGGGGUAAUCGAGGGGGCGACGAAGGUUCCUGCAAAGAGUGGCAACGCGAAGGAGGAAGCCUGUUGCCCCAAGAGAGUCCUUACGGCCUCACCACGCGGUCCGACGAGUGGAGCAGUCUCCUGCCCAGCUCCACGAUCGUGGGUGCUGGGGGGUCGCCAUGGCUCGGACUCGGCGCCGGGGGUGGUACCGGGGCCACCACGGGGGGUGGAAGCCCCGUCGAGCUCGAGGGGCACUGGGGACGUAAGCUGUACGGCGCGAGUGUGGCACCGCCGCCUCCGCCACCUCAUCAUCAUCCACGGGCACCGCUGGUUUUCGCGCCUCAAGAUAUGAGGCAAAUACUGAAGGAGGAACCUGUGCCACGUGCUUGGCCGCAGCCCGCUCUCACCGACAACGGAACGGUUGGCGUGGGCCGCGCGCACUUCGAGAAACAACCGCCGAGUAAUCUGAGGAAGAGCAAUUUUUUCCAUUUCGUAAUCGCCCUUUACGAUCGACAUGGCCAACCGAUCGAGAUUGAGAGGACGUCGUUCAUGGGCUUCGUCGAGAAGGAUCAGGAGUCCGAGGGCCAAAAAACGAACAACGGCAUUCAGUACAGUCUACAUCUACUCUACUCCAAUGGUGUCAGGCAGGUGCAAGAUAUCUACGUCAGACUUAUAGACUCCGCGACGAAACAAGCAAUCAUGUAUGAGGGGCAAGACAAGAAUCCGGAAAUGUGCCGCGUUCUGCUGACGCAUGAAGUCAUGUGCAGUCGAUGCUGCGACAAAAAGAGCUGCGGCAAUAGGAACGAAACGCCCAGCGAUCCCGUCAUCAUCGACCGAUUCUUCCUCAAGUUCUUUCUCAAGUGUAACCAAAAUUGCCUCAAGAACGCUGGCAAUCCACGCGACAUGAGACGUUUUCAGGUGGUCAUUUCUACACAAGUGGGAGUGGAGGGACCAUUACUUGCGGUCUCGGACAAUAUGUUCGUUCACAACAACAGCAAGCACGGGCGCAGAGCGAAACGUUUGGACCCCAGUGAUCCUGGCGAGUAUAAUAGUCUAUAUCCGCCAAUACCCCUACAAACGCCCUGUAUAAAAGCGAUAUCGCCUAAUGAAGGCUGGACAUCGGGUGGAUCUACGGUCAUAAUUAUCGGUGAAAACUUCUUCGACGGAUUGCAAGUCGUUUUCGGAUCGAUGUUAGUUUGGAGCGAGUUUAUCACUCCGCACGCGAUCAAAGUGCAAGCGCCGGCGCGGCAAAUACCAGGCGUCGUUGAAGUUACAUUACAUUACAAAAGCAAACAAUUUUGCAAAGGGCAACCUGGUAGAUUUGUUUAUGUCUCGGUAAACGAACCCACGAUCGACUACGGCUUCCAAAGGUUACAGAAACUCGUUCCGCGGCAUCCGGGUGACCCCGAAAAACUUCCGAAGGAAAUAGUACUGAAAAGGGCGGCGGACUUAGCGGAAGCCCUUUAUAGUAUGCCCAAAAGUGGAAACAUGGGGAUCGCGGGAGCACCGAGAAGUCCCGGUUCGGUGCACGCACCCGCACCUCCUACAUCUAGUUCGGCAGCGGCCUUUAAUUCGUAUACAGGGCAACUUGCAGUAACGGUGCAGGAAAAUGGUAGUGCGGCAAAAUGGACGGACGACGGUAGUUCCGUGACGACAGGAGCUGCUGCUGGCGGGGGAGGCAGCGGCGGCGGCGACGGCGGCGGUGGUGGCAGUGUCAGUGGUAACGUCGGCGGCAGCGCCGACGCCUACAGACAAAGUAGUAGUGCUAGUCCACGUGGCGUCGUAACCGGAGGUGGUUAUUGCGGUAGUUCGGCCAGUACGCCACAUAGUCACAGUACCAACGGAAGUUAUUCUGUCGCGAAUCCGUAUACCGGCAGUCCGACUCUCUACACCUCGCCGCACGAACAAUACGGCAUAUUCUAUACGUCCGGGGACGGGAGUGCGUUCGCCCCCGUAGUACGACCACCGACCACCUCAGUCCCACCGCACUGGUCCACACAGCACCACCUCGCCACAGCCGCCCAGUAACCGCUAACCGUCCACCACCACCAACACCAUCAUCACCAUCACCUUAUGCAUUACGAUUAAAGAAUUAUGAGAGACGGCAUUUGACAAUGACUAGGAGAGGUGGUCGGAUCACCCUUCAACAUGAACCCAUUUAUGUUGCCCACCUGCAGCCAAGGAUAUUCAGCCGCUGCCAGCCCG